UCUAAAGAAUUCUGGUCUCUUAGGAGUGCAU
rnacentral:piRNA from 1 species